rnacentral:rRNA from 1 species
AACGAACGCUGGCGGCGUGGAUAAGACAUGCAAGUCGAACGGGACAGACCGAGUAGCAAUAUUUGGAAUGUUCAGUGGCGAACGGGUGCGUAACACGUGGAUAACAUUCCGGAAAGCGGGGAAUAGCCCAGGGAAACUUGGAUUAAUACCGCAUGUGGCCGCAAGGCUAAAGACGGGGACCGCAAGGCCUGUCACUUUCCGAUUGGUCCGCGGCCUAUCAGCUAGUUGGCGGGGUAGUGGCCCACCAAGGCUACGACGGGUAGCUGGUCUUAGAGGACGACCAGCCACACUGGAACUGAGACACGGUCCAGACACCUACGGGUGGCAGCAGUCGAGAAUCUUUCACAAUGGGGGCAACCCUGAUGGAGCGACGCCGCGUGGAGGAUAAAGUCUUCGGAUUGUAAACUCCUGUCAUGCGAGAACAAGGUACUCAGGCUAAUAACCUGAAUGUUUGAUGGUACCGCAAGAGGAAGAGACGGCUAACUCUGUGCCAGCAGCCGCAGUAAGAC